GAAAGACUGACGCAGAACACUGAACGAAUUUCUUUAAGGUCUUGACAACCAGCACGGAUGGAGACAACAAGGUCUAUGUCUCCACAGUCCAAGCACACAGUUACCCUGUAACUGCUUUCCAAUGGCAUCCAGAGAAAAAUGCUUUUGAAUGGGGUUUGUCCAUGAUACCACACUCAGAUGAUGCCAUUCAAGCUACACAGCAUGUAGC